rnacentral:ncRNA from 2 species
UGAAUAUCUAAUAUGUUAGGUGCCCGUAAAGGGGUAAUAGGGAAGCUGGUGAAAUUCCAGCACGAACCCAUCACUGUAACCAACGAGUUAGGCUAUACCACUGGACUAUAUCUGGGAAGGUAAGCCGCGUGACGAUUGAGUUGGAAGUCAGGAGACCUGCCUAAACCAUAUUACUUUA